CCCUGCAAAACUGAAAGGCAGACUCAGGAACUAAUACUUAUAAUCAUGCUCCAAAAUGAAAGGGGAAAGCCGUCAAAUCAGCAAAGCAACAGCCUCACCAUAUUUACUGCCAAGCAGGGCUGAGGUUUGAGAGUGUCAGUAAGCUACAAGUGGACACAAACCACCUCUCUCUCAGACUGGCGACCCAGAUCACAGGACUCAAAGAAAGAGAAGUGGUAACACACUUCUCGAGUGAUCCACAGCAAAGUCCACCAGCCACAGGAAGCCUGGGACCCCAUCUAGUCUGACUUUCCAGCAUCAGUCCCAUGGGAGCCCCCCCACCGAUGAGACAUAAUCCUAUUAAAACAGGCAUCUCCCCCAUAAUGUGCACAGGAAGCUAAAGUCUGCAUUUUACAUUUUGCAAACAUAUCAAUAGGGACCAUCUCAGAUCAAUGGUGACCCAAUCUCUCCGUCCAGCCAGACCAUCCCCUUUGCUUUAUAACUUCCUAAAAGGCGCCAAACCUAAAGAGGGUAACCAAAACAACAACAAAGAUUUAUCAAGUGACAUCCGACACUGCUGUAAGAGAGCAGCAUGUCCACCCAUGCUAGAGGCCAUUAGAAAAGCCACCGGGGAUUUAUCCCGGAUGCUGCUCCAGAAUUCUGAGCUGCCAGGCUAGAACCGGGCAAACACCUGGAUGCUUUGUCAGCUUUAAAAAAUUGUUUAAAAAAGAUGGUUCUUAAUGAGACUGUUAGAACUUCAAAAGAUUAAAAUGUAUCUUAAAAUAAUAAAAUAAAAUGUGUCUUAAUUCUUACACUUGACUUUGGCUUUGUGGAUUCGUCCUCUACUUUAUUGAUUUUUUAAAAGACCACCCACCAAACUCAGCCAAGUGAUCAGUGAGAACUUAAAAGCCUGGGAAAAGCUGCCACUACAGCCACCAAUGGGUUCCUCUGAACUCAUGGUUCCAGAAGGGUUAAAAUGAGCUGCUAAAAAUAGAGACCUAACCAAAACCGACCAAACAAACGUGAUGACAAAAUUAAAUUUUUCAACCACAGAAACAGGCAUUCGAAUUUAAA